GCCUGGCUGGCUCAGUUGGUGGGGCACAGGACUCUUGAUCUCGGGGUUGUGAGUUCAACACCCAUGUUAGGCA
rnacentral:tRNA from 1 species